rnacentral:siRNA from 1 species
UCGAAGGUAAGAUUAUACCAAC